GAGGCAUUGAAGGUGUGGUUGAUCGGUGGGGAUGACAAUUUUGUUGGACAAUUCCUAGUGAUUUUGGGCAUAAAAAGAAAUACAAAGAGGAAAGAAAAGGAAGAUGUUCAGUAAAAUGAAUUGCGAGUGAACAGGGAUAUGAAGAAAAAUACAGAAGACGGGGUGGAGAUUUGACCUCAGGGACGACGAACCCAACGGCCAUCUUGCUGCGA
rnacentral:lncRNA from 1 species